rnacentral:rRNA from 1 species
UACGGAGGGGGCUAGCGUUGUUCGGAAUCAUUGGGCGUAAAGGGCGCGUAGGCGGCCAAUCAAGUCCGACGUGAAAUUCCUCGGCUCAACCGAGGGCCUGCGUCGGAUACUGCUUGGCUUGAGUCCCGGAGAGGGUAGUGGAAUUCCCAGUGUAGCGGUGAAAUGCGUAGAUACUGGGAGGAACACCGGUGGCGAAGGCGGCUACCUGGACGGGUACUGACGCUGAGGCGCGAAAGCUAGGGGAGCAAACAGG